UAUGCAAUUUUGUCUCAGUUUGACUGAAGAUAAGUUUUUAGCCUUUUUGGCUGGUUGACUCAGUUUCAUUCUAUAUAUAUACAUAUAUGUAAGUACGUAUAAGAUUCAGUUUCCCUAAUCAGUUAGAUAGGCAGACUUAUCUAGUCAUGACAUAGCUUCUGUCUUGAAUUAUUUAAUAUUUUUUUGUUUCUCUUUCAGUUUUUCUUUUGUUUCUAUUCUCAAGUUUACUCCUCGUUUUGCAGACAGCUUGGGUAAUUAUAAAGCGUAAUGCUGAAUAUAAGCCAUUGCAGUUCUUGGCUUUUGCAUUUGUUUAUCGGAUUUUUGAGAAACUGAAAGCCUUUGAAGCGCCUGUGUCACCAACAUUUACAGAGGAUGGUGAAGAUGAUGGGAGGGCAAUGAGAAUGGGAAAAAGACUUCUUCGAUCUCUUGGAUUAGUUUUUGGUUGUAUGGCGGUGGCCUCUUUGGUAACUAGUUUUGUUGAUUUCUUGCUUAAUGAUUAAGAUUUCUAAUAAUUUUUAUAAAAGAAUUUGCUGUAUAUCAUAAAAAACGAUGUUGUUAUUCAUGCAUCCGACAAUAUGGAGAAUCUUUAUCUUGUUCCAUGUUGGGCAAUGAGCGUUGAUUUCUGUUUUAGCUCAAUCUAACAUGUGAAUGUGCUACUGAACUCGUGUUAAUCAUAAAUUAGGAAAAAAAAAAGGUAUUUCCUGAGGAUUGCUGAAAAUCCUUCUAGGAAAAUGUAUUAUGCAUCAAAAGAAACGGGGUUGGGGUUAGUGCCUUCUGUAGUCAGAGUAAUCACUUUGGAUACCCUUGUGAGAAAAUUCCAAAA